CCUACGGGUGGCAGCAGUGAGGAAUAUUGGUCAAUGGACGAGAGUCUGAACCAGCCAAGUAGCGUGAAGGAUGACUGCCCUAUGGGUUGUAAACUUCUUUUAUAUGGGAAUAAAAUGUUCCACGUGUGGGAUUUUGUAUGUACCAUAUGAAUAAGGAUCGGCUAACUCCGUGCCAGCAGCCGCGGUAAUACGGAGGAUCCGAGCGUUCUCCGGAUUUAUUGGGUUUAAAGGGAGCGUAGGUGGAUUGUUAAGUCAGUUGUGAAAGUUUGGGGCUCAACCGUAAAAUUGCAGUUGAAACUGGCAGUCUUGAGUACGGGAGAGGUGUGCGGAAUUCGGGGUGUAGCGGUGAAAUGCUUAGAUAUCACGAAGAACUCCGAUUGCGAAGGCAGUUCACUGGACUGCAACUGACGCUGAGGCUCGAAAGUGUGGGUAUCAAACAGGAUUAGAUACCCGGGUAGUC
rnacentral:rRNA from 1 species